UCACCCUUCUUUCCAAACAUUGGUCCGCCAAAUGACCUUUUUACCCUCAAAGAUGCAACAUUUAGCACAUAGGAUGAUUAGAUGUCAUUUUGGGCCAUAAGACCAUUUUUGACAUAAUUUGGACAGGCCUCCUACAAAGGGACAUGGUGCCUGGGACCGAGCCCUACUAAGUCUGAUUAAUAUGAUGCAAAUAAGCAUAACCUAAAAUGAUUAAAUGUCAUAUUGGGCCAUGGGCCCAUAUUGACAAAAUUUGGACAGGCUCCCUAUAAAGGGACACGGUACCUGGGACCGAGACCUACUAGGUGUAAAUGACAUGAUGCAAAUAAAAAUGACCUAAGUUUGGGGUUCACUAACAAGGCAAUUCGGGGGAGCGUAUGGUCAAUAGUGGCUGCUCAAGCUUUCCACCCACUCCAUACGUCCGACGGUCCCCCCUCCUAAAUUAAGGGUGACUCAACGAAGAAUUCGUGCAGGCGGCGCGUGCUCCGAGACUUGUUGCAGAAAGAAUUGACCGAGUAAUGCAUAUGAUGACACUUAUAAAGCAGUAAACACAUAAAGCAAAACUGUAACCGCAUAAACAACUAGCAAGUAAUAAAAUAUAAAACAUAAUAAAAAUUGAGCAAAGCUAAAUAAAUAAAUAAUAAAAAACAUUAAAAAAACUCAACCAAAUAUUCUAAAGCCAACAAAAUCGAGUACUAGCUCGAACCCACGAGUGUCCCCAUCAGAGUCGCCAAAGAUGCCACACCUCUUUUUUUUUCAAAACAAACUUUUCUUAAACCUCUUAAAUUAAU
rnacentral:lncRNA from 1 species